rnacentral:rRNA from 1 species
GUGUCAGCCGCCGCGGUAAUACGUAGGGUGCAAGCGUUAAUCGGAAUUAUUGGGCGUAAAGGGUGCGCAGGCGGAUGUAUAAGUCAGAUGUGAAAUCCCCGGGCUUAACCUGGGAAUUGCGUUUGAAACUAUAUGACUAGAGUGUGAUAGAGGGGAGUGGAAUUCCAUGUGUAGCAGUGAAAUGCGUAGAGAUGUGGAAGAACACCGAUGGCGAAGGCAGCUCCCUGGAUUAACACUGACGCUCAUGCACGAAAGCGUGGGGAGCAAACAGGAUUAGAAACCCUGGUAGUCC